rnacentral:rRNA from 1 species
AUUGAACGCUGGCGGCAGGCCUAACACAUGCAAGUCGAACGAGUGGCGGACGUGUGAGUAAUGUCUGGGAAACUGCCUGCUGGAGGGGGAUAACUACUGGAAACGGUAGCUAAUACCGCAUACCAUCAGAUGUUCCCAGAUGGGAUUGGCUUGUUGGUGGGGUACCGGCUCACCACGGCGCCGAUCCCUAGCUGGUCUGAGAGGAUGACCAGCCACACUGGAACUGAGACACGGUCCAGACUCCUACGGGAGGCAGCAGUGGGGAAUAUUGGACAAUGGGCGAAAGCCUGAUCCAGCCAUGCCGCGUGUGUGAAGAAGGUCUUCGGAUUGUAAAGCACUUUAAGUUGGGAGGCGUUACCAACAGAAUAAGCACCGGCUAACUUCGUGCCAGCAGCCGCGGUAAUAC